CAGUCGCCACGGGAAUACGUAGGGUGCAAGCGUUAAUCGGAAUUACUGGGCGUAAAGCGUGCGCAGGCGGUCCGCUAAGACAGAUGUGAAACCCCCGGGCUUAACCUGGGAACUGCAUUUGUGACUGGCGGGCUAGAGUAUGGCAGAGGGGGGUAGAAUUCCACGUGUAGCAGUGAAAUGCGUAGAGAUGUGGAGGAAUACCGAUGGCGAAGGCAGCCCCCUGGGCCAAUACUGACGCUCAUGCACGAAAGCGUGGGGAGCAAACAGGAUUAGAUACCCGUGUAGUCCCUGUCUCUUAUAC
rnacentral:rRNA from 1 species